CCAACUUCCUCAGGGGCUGGUUCUCACAGAUGUAGAGAAUGUUAUCCGGUUCACAGUGAAACACAUUCUUGAUCUUCUCCAUGAUCCUAAGAGCCAAGAUAGUCUUCCCUGAUCCAGGAACAUGGAUGGAGCUGAAGGCCAUGAUCCUAAGCAAACUGACACAGGAAGAGAAAAACAAAUACUGGAUGUUCUCACUUAUAAGUGGGAGCUAAACAAUGAGUACAUAUGUAUACAAAGAAGGGAACAACAGACAUGGGAGGGCCUACUUGAGGAUGGAGUUUGGGAGGAAGGGCAGGAGUGUUACGAGGGGAUAUGAAAGGACAUUUGGAUAUAAGACCUUCAACUACAGGUUUGAGCCCUUCCUUUGCUUCUGACUUCAAUGGAUAUUGUGGAAGUCUGGGUAAUGGUUUCACAGGAUCUGUCUGAAUUAAGUAAGUUCUGCUUAUUAUUUUGCUGCUCCAAUUAUUCGUCCAGUGAAGUGGAAUUUUUAUUUUUUAUUUAUUUUUUUUUCAUUUCUUUUUUUAAUUGCAUUUUAGGUUUUGAGGUACAUGUGAAGAACAUGCAAGAUAGUUGCAUAGGUACACACGUGGCAGUGUGAUAUGCUGCCUUCCUCCCCUUCACCCACAUUUGGCAUUUCUCCCCAGGCUAUCCCUCCCCAGAUCCCCCCACCACUGUCCCUCCCCUAUUCCCCCCAAUAAACCCCAGUGUG